rnacentral:rRNA from 1 species
UACAGAGGUCUCAAGCGUUGUUCGGAUUCAUUGGGCGUAAAGCGCGCGUAGGCGGCCUCAUAAGUCCGUUGUGAAAGUCAAAGGCUCAACCUUUGAAAGCCGAUGGAUACUGUGAGGCUAGAGUCCGGAAGAGGCGAGUGGAAUUCCUGGUGUAGCGGUGGAAUGCGCAGAUAUCAGGAGGAACACCAAUAGCGAAGGCAGCUCGCUGGGACGGUACUGACGCUAAGGCGCGAAAGCGUGGGGAGCGAACAGG